rnacentral:rRNA from 1 species
AACGAACGCUGGCGGCAUGCCUAACACAUGCAAGUCGAACGAACCCUUCGGGGUGAGUGGCGCACGGGUGCGUAACGCGUGGGAACCUGCCCUUAGGUUCGGAAUAACGUUUCGAAAGGAACGCUAAUACCGGAUAAUGUCUUCGGACCAAAGAUUUAUCGCCUUUGGAUGGGCCCGCGUUGGAUUAGCUAGUUGGUGGGGUAAAGGCUCACCAAGGCGACGAUCUAUAGCUGGUCUUAGAGGAUGAUCAGCCACACUGGGACUGAGACACGGCCCAGACUCCUACGGGAGGCAGCAGUGGGGAAUAUUGGACAAUGGGCGAAAGCCUGAUCCAGCAAUGCCGCGUGAGUGAUGAAGGCCUUAGGGUUGUAAAGCUCUUUUACCAGGGAUGAUAAUGACAGUACCUGGAGAAUAAGCUCCGGCUAACUCCGUG